rnacentral:rRNA from 1 species
CCUACGGGGGGCAGCAGUGAGGAAUAUUGGUCAAUGGUCGGGAGACUGAACCAGCCAAGCCGCGUGAGGGAUGAAGGUACAGAGUAUCGUAAACCUCUUUUGUCAGGGAACAAAGGCGGGGACGUGUCCCCGGAUGAGUGUACCUGAAGAAAAAGCAUCGGCUAACUCCGUGCCAGCAGCCGCGGUAAUACGGAGGAUGCGAGCGUUAUCCGGAUUUAUUGGGUUUAAAGGGUGCGCAGGCGGUCUGUUAAGUCAGCGGUAAAAGCCCGGGGCUCAACCCCGGCCCGCCGUUGAAACUGGCAGUCUCGAGUUGGAGAGAAGUAGGCGGAAUGCGCGGUGUAGCGGUGAAAUGCAUAGAUAUCGCGAAGAACUCCGAUUGCGAAGGCAGCAUGCCGGCUCCACACUGACGCUGAGGCACGAAAGCGUGGGUAUCGAACAGGAUUAGAUACCCUUGUAGUC